rnacentral:lncRNA from 1 species
UGGUUAUUAACAUGAAACAACAUAAGGGAGAUUAAUAAUUAAAUUAAUCAAAUAAUCAAUUGGCAAUUUUGAAGAUCUAUUUUGAGCAAAAGCAUUGGAGGAAAGAUUUGAAGGCUAAUUCACGAUAAUUGCAUAUUGAAGCUAGAGAGAAGGAUGGUUUUGGAUUCAUUCUUUUUCUUUAGUUCAAUAAUUGUAAUUGGCAUGAUGUUUACUUUGAUUAUUUCAGUUUUCAUUUCAUAUGUGAUGAACUAAUUUAUUUGUUAGGCUUAUG